AUACUUACCUGGUAGAGGAGAAUACCAUGAUCCCAAUGGUAUUUUUCCUAAGGUGAGGCUUGUCCAUUGCUCUCUGGAUGUGUGUCACCUUAAUAGAUUGUAUUCAACACUAAGAGAUCUAAAAAUUUGAGUAGGAUUAUGAAAUUAUAUUAUACUAUGUACAUAUA